rnacentral:lncRNA from 1 species
CACACCCUUGUGUUCUGUUGCGUGGGGUGUGUUAUGUGGCGACGGACCAUCCAUCGCGGAUUGACUUACUUAGGAAGAAAUUUUUACUAAAUGGUUGUUUAGGGUCCGGGAGCCUUGUUUAAGAAAACAGUUGCAUGGAGCAAGGUGGAUUUGUGUUACCCUCAUCUCAUUCACAUUCAGAGGGCGUGAUCGACAUUGCAUUCUCUCCUGUGUCUCGUGUUCGGGGGUUGCUGGAGAAAAAAAAAAAAGUUAUUUGGGAACUCUGCCACAUUUUUCAAUGAGAUACAGAAUUUUGUGCUUUUGUUUACUACUGUAUUUCCUCUGGCCACUUUCACUUUUGUUUCUCUUUAGUUUCCUUUCUGGUUUCUUGUCCUUUUUCGAAAUUCAGCAGAAAUGGACUUUUGAGUUAACUAGAGUUCCUCACUUUACAGGCGAAGAAACCGAAGCCCUGAGGAGUGACAGAAUUGCUCCAAGUCACACAUUUAAUUCGAGUAAGCCCUGCUCACCUGAUACUUGUUAGAGGAGUGGCGAUAGAGAGUGAGAGAGGGGGAAGCUAACUGAGCGACCUAGAGCAGCAGUUCUGCUCUGAAAUUCGUAUCCUAGACAUUAAAGAUGGAGCGUGCUCACCAGCUCAUUCACGUCCUGGGAAUGGGGUAAACUGAUGACUUCUUCAAAAUCUCCCCUCUUGUGAUUUGACACCACAGAUUUUGACAUCUGUUAAUGCAGGUUCUGCAUCACCUUUCCCGGGAAUGUUUGCCAUCUCACUGAACAACCCUCCAUGAUUGCUAUGAAUGAUUUUUCCUAGACUCACAGAGGUGACCACUCCCCCUUUGUACACCCACUGUGUCCGUUCUAUAUUAGUUUCAUGGUGCCUUUCACACUUCACUGUUCAGGACAGUUGAUGCAUCUCCCUGAGCUCCAGAGUGGGCUGUGAGGAUCAGGGCCAUGUUCAUGCUAUAUUUUCUAUGUUUAGUACCCUGCCUGGCAACGAAUGAGCCAAUGAAGGUCUGAAGAGGAUUUUUUUUUUUUUUCUAUAAUGCCUUCCCAACCAAUUAUCUUUAGGAAAUUCCAGCCAUGUCUUUGGUGAAAGCAGAAAGCCGGAGAUGCUUACUGAUUUUUACACCUUUACAGACCAUUUUUGGCAGGCUUCUUAUUUACAGAGCCAAGCAAAACAUAAUUAGCUUUCUUAAUUUUUUUUUUCUUUUUAGGGCCGUACCCUUGGCAUAUGAAAGUUCCCAGGCUAGGGGUGGAAUGGAGCUGCUGGCCUACAUCACAACCACACAGGAUCUAAGCAGCAUCUUGGACCUACACCACAGCUCACAGCAAGGCUGGAUCCUUAACCCACUAAGCGACGCCAGGGUUUGAACCGGCAUUCUCACGGAUAGUAGUUGGGUUCGUUACUGCUGAGCCAUGACGGAAACUCUGCUUUCUUGAUUUUUUUUUUUAAACCAACUGUCAUCUCCCCUCUUUUUACAAUAAUUGCUUUUCCCUCUUCAAAUAACAUAUAAUUCAUAGAAUUAGUUAUGCCAACACUUGCCCUUUGACUUUUGCUCUCAUAGACUCCAAAAGAUUGGUGAAGUUUAAACUGAUUUUACCCCGCUCAGCCUGGAAAUAAAUGAUCAGAGGCAGCAUUCUUUUUUUUUUUUUUUUUUUUUUUGCUAUUUCUUUGGGCCGCUUCCGCGGCAUAUGAAGGUUCCCAGGCUAGGGGUCCAAUCAGAGCUGUAGCCGCCAGCCUACGCCAGAGCCACAGCAACUUGGGAUCCAAGCCGCGUCUGCAACCUACACCACAGCUCACAGCACCACAGCUCACAGCAACGCCGGAUCGUUAACCCACUGAGCAAGGGCAGGGACCAAACCCGCAAGCUCAUGGUUCCUAGUCGGAUUCAUUAACCACUGCGCCACGACGGGAACUCCAGAGGCAGCAUUCUUUAUGAGACUCUGAUUCUUCCUGGAACCCAGUGAAGUAAGUGAGGAGGCUGACAGUUGAACAAGCUGAAGAGGGCUGCUGGAAAGACGUCAGUGUCUGGACAAAAAGUGCACAUUUGCACCUUUGAAAGACUGGAGAAUAGCUGACAUAUGUUAAUUAUAUUUACAGCUGGGAGGGGGGUCUGGACUAUCGCAAAUGAGCGCAUAAACGUCCAGUUCAAUGAGGUUCCAUUACAUAUCUGAACAUGAACUGCAUGUAUUCCUUUGGAUGGGGCAGAGUAGUUGGUGUUACUGAUCAUAAUAUCUAAAAGCCAUGUGUUUCAUCCCAGGUAAUGAAUGCGAGAGUAAUUUUAAGAGCAAUAAUACCAACUUUCAGCAAGGUGGGCAUGAAGCCUAGUUGUAUGUAAAGUCACGUGCUCCCUUAAAUGUAAAGCUAAACACAGAAAACAAGAUUCGCAGUUCAAAAAUACAGGCAGUACCUCCAUAUCGCUUGUCUUCCACACUGAAGCACUCACAUGGUUUUAAAGAUCAGACUUUAGGAGUUCCCAUUGUGGCACAGCGGAAACGAAUCUGACUAGGAACCAUGAGGUUGCAGGUGCAAUCCCUGGUCUUGCUCAGUGGGUUAAGGAUCCGGCGUUGCCAUGAGCUGUGGUGUAGAUCACAGACAGCUUGGAUCUGGCGUUGUUGUGGCUGUGGCGUAGGCCAGCAGCUGUAGCUCCAAUUAGACGAACCUCUGUAUGCUGCAGGUGCAGGCCUCAAAAGCAAAGUAAAAUAAAGAUCAAACUUUAGUCUUCUGGGGAACUACAGAGCUACUGAUUAGAGAGAGCUCUUAUAGGCACAGUCAUCUUUCAUCUUUCCAACAUCCACUUGAAAAAAUGACAAUUCUCGGUGUGUGAGACGGACUAUGGAAUCAGGUCCUGAUCUCAGCUCUGCUGAUCUAUUAGCUGUGUCAUCCUAAGUAAGUUAUUCAUCCGUUCUGAUUCUGUUUCUUUACACAUAAAAUAAGGAUGACAACGCCUAGCUCAAAGAGGAGUUUUUAGAAUUGAAAUUUAGCCAAAACUUCAUAAAAUAGGUGUCAAGACAUGGCAUGAUACUUGGAACAUGAUUUUUAAUAACAAGUAGCUGUAAUAAUGUUAUUAUAUUUUUAUUUACCCUAUGCACUUUCUAGAAUUAUUCUAUCCAUCUUGGCUUCCUGCUCUUGACCUUUCAACAAACCUGCCAUGGGUGAAAGUUCUGUGACUAUGAAGAUAAAUAAUAAGUCUGCCUCCAAGUUCAUACGGCUUGGAAAAGACACAUAUGUCAAUAACUAUACUGAUGCUGGUGGACUGAAGACACGUACUUGGUUCAUACUACUUUAUGAUGAGCUACCUGAGAAAUAUUUAAUUAAGAUCUAGAUUUAAUAAUAUGUAGGCAAUAAGAUAUAUACACCUCAAUGUUCAUUGCAGCACUAUUCACAAUAGCCAAGACAUGGAAGCAACCUCAUAUUCAUCAACAGAGGAAUGGAUAAAGAAAAUGUGAUAAAUACACAUACAUACAUAUACCAUUGUGUGUGUGUAUACUUAGCCAUAAAAAAAAAAAUGAAAUAAUGCCAUUUGCAGCAACAUGGACGGACUUAAGAGUUAGCACACUAAGUGAAGUGAGCCAGAGAAAGACCAAUAUCAUAUGAUAGCGCUUACAUGUGGAAUCUUUAAAAAAAAGAUACAACUGAACUUACAAAACGGAAAUAGACCCAUAGACAUAGAAAACAAACUUGUAGUUUGAAAGCAGGAUGGGGAUGGAUAAAUUGGGAAUUUGGGAUUAACAUAUAUACAUUACUAUAUAUAUAUAUAAAAUAGAUAACCAAAAAGGACCUAGUGUGUAGCACAGGGAACUAUGCUCAACAUUUUAUAAUAACCUAUAAGGGAAAAGAAUAAGAAAAAGAACAUACAUGUAGGGUUAUGUAUGUAUUAUAUAUACAUUUGUGUAUAUAUAUACAUAUGACUGACUUUGUUGUGUACCUAAAACUAACAGAACAUUGUAAAUCAACAAUACUUCAACUCAAAAAAAUUAAUAAAAGGGAAUUCCCGUAGUGGUACAGGGGAAAAAAUUAAUCUUACUAGUAUCCGUGAGGAUGCGGGUUCGAUCCCUGGCCUCGCUCAGUGGGUUAAAGAUCCGACAUUGCCAUGAGCUAUGGUGUAGAUAGCAGACAAGGUUGGGAUCCUGAAUUGCUGUGGCUGUGGUAGGCCGGCAGCUGCAGCUCCAAUUUGACCCCUAGCCUGGGAACUUCCAUAUGCCAUGGGUUCGGCCCUAAAAAGCAAAUAAAUAAAUAAAUAAA